CGCGUUGGCAUCGGGCGCUGCUAU
rnacentral:miRNA from 1 species